CAGGGAGACAACAAAAUGUUUAAUAUUAUUAUUUUGUCACCUUAGGUCGAUCGGUAUCUCACGUUCUUAAUUUGUUAAGAAUUUCAUUUCCUAAGUUUUUCUAGGUCACACCCAUUAUUUUUCCUGGGCCAUUAGCUCAGGUGGUUAGAGCGCACCCCUGAUAAGGGUGAGGUCCCUGGUUCAAGUCCAGGAUGGCCCAUAUCUCUAUGUUGGGGGUAUAGCUCAGUUGGUAGAGCGCCUGCUUUGCAAGCAGGAUGUCAGCGGUUCGAGUCCGCUUACCUCCACUGAUUACCACCUCUUCCAUAACCGGUAGAAAGGAAAUGUUUUGAGUUGUGAUCAUUAUUCUGAACGAAUCUAGCUUCCUAAUGAAAUCAUUAAGAUGCUGGACUCAUUGAAUUAAUUUCAUUGUUUUCAGAGAACCUUGACAACUGCAUAGAUUUUUUUAAAGACAAUAAGCAUCUUUAAUGAUGCAGAUUUAUUAUUUGUGCGAAAGCAUUAAUAACAAUUCUAUUAAGCUGAUGCUUCAAUUUUUGAAGUUAUU
rnacentral:tRNA from 2 species